rnacentral:lncRNA from 1 species
CCGUUUUGGCCGCCUUCCCGAGCUCGGAUGCUCGGCCCGCCUUGAGGAAAGUCAAUCCUCGCGUCGUCCUCGUCGUUUUGGUCUGCUCGGCUCGCUAAUCCGGUGAGUCUAACUCACUAAACCUUGAUUAGAGGGUUAAUGAUGCUUUAUGGGUGCUUAGUUUAUGUUAAGUGUUAUUAGGUGGUUAGUUUAAUUUAUUUAAGUGUAGAUUAUAUUAAGGUGUUUGAUUAACUUAAAUUGUGUUUAAUUUAAGGUUAAGUGAGUGGUUAUAUUAAUAUAAACUGUGAUUUGACAUAAAGGAAUUUACUUUUGAUUUAUUUAAAUAUUUCGAAAUUGUCUAAUAAUUUAAUAAUAUUAUAUUAUUCGAAAUUAUUAAAAUAUUAUUAUUUAAUUAUUUUCGGAAUAAAUUUAAUUAAUUAUUAAAUUCCGAAAAUUUUGUCAGGACCCUAAAUUCUUAGAAUCUCGUGCCGGUCGCUGCUGUGUAGUCAGAUUUUGAAAUUGAUGAUUGGAUAUUAUAAAUUGAGUGUGGAUUGUGAAAAGUAUGGAUUUUAUUUAGAAAAUCCCAAGUGUCGAGUUUGGCAUUGAAAUUGGAUUGUUAAUGGUUAAUAUCAUAAUUGGAUUAUGUGAGUGAAAUGUAAAGUAUCCAGGGAUCGGUAUCGAAUUGUCGUGUGCUAGUUGAAAGGCUCGGGUCGCAGUAGUGGCUAGGCCGACUGGAUCCUUAUUAUGCUAGAAAUACCGUCAAGAGAGUGACGUGGCUCGGGUCGCAGUAGUGGCUAGGCUGACUGGAUCCUUAUUAUGCUAGAAAUUCCGUCAAGAGAGUGACGUGGCUCGGGUCGCAGUAGUGGCUAGGCCAACUGGACCUUUGUUCUUCUAGAAAUGCCGUCAAGAGAGUGAUGUGGCUCGGGUCGCAGUAGAGGCUAGGCCAACUAGACCCAUGCUCCUUCGGGAAUGCCGUCGACGUACUGACGAAGUCGCGCUCCAAGGUGGGGAGGCGAUGCCUGGUUAUAUGCCAGUAGAUAGCUGAACUGCGAGUAAGCUAUGCCCUUGUUUGGCAGUGAAUGACAAUUGGAAUGCAUGUUGAGUGUUGUUGAUGGGUCGGAUUAUGGGACGGAAUUGUGCGGCAUGGAAUGGGACGUGUCAUAACGAUUUAGUCUUAUAAUCAGGACCCCCGUGGUUGUUGGUUAUAUGAAAGUGAAUGCGUUUCGGUUGUUUAAGUUCCUAUUACUAUCUGUGAUUGAGCGAUUUGAAUUGUGCUAACCUGCAGGAAGGAAUUGAUGCGAGGUAAGUUCUUUGUGUGACGUGGCUAGGCCACCCUUGGAUGUAUUUUCUUUCUAAUAGGGGUUUAGGGGGUUGAACUUGCUGAGACAUCGUCUCAUCCCGAUUGUGGGAUUAAAAUUUCAGGUCCCCAGUGGACGGAGCGGCCAUAUAGCUUUGGUUGGCCUUGAGGAGUUGCAGAGGUGAAGUCAUAAGAUUGGAGAACGUGUCCGACUUGUAGGUCGUAGGACAAUUCCUUUUUAAGAGCCGGUCUUUUGUAGACUUUUGGCCGUAGACCUCUGUUUGUAAU